AUUUGUAUAGUUUAAAUAAAACAUUACAUUUUCAUUGUAAAAAUAAAAAUUUACUUUUUUUAUAAAUA
rnacentral:tRNA from 1 species